CGCUUCGGUGGCCUAGUGGUUAGAGCAUUAGCCUCAGAUGCUUGAGGUUGUGGGUUUGAUUCCUGGUCAAGUCA